rnacentral:rRNA from 1 species
UACGUAGGGUGCAAGCGUUGUCCGGAAUUAUUGGGCGUAAAGAGCUCGUAGGCGGUCUGUUGCGUCGGCUGUGAAAACCCGGGGCUCAACUCCGGGCCUGCAGCCGAUACGGGCAGACUAGAGUUCGGCAGGGGAGACUGGAAUUCCUGGUGUAGCGGUGAAAUGCGCAGAUAUCAGGAGGAACACCGGUGGCGAAGGCGGGUCUCUGGUACGUGACUGACGCUGAGACGCGAAAGCGUGGGGAGCGAACAGG